rnacentral:snRNA from 1 species
GUGCUCUCUUCGGCAGCACGUAUACAGAGAAGAUUAGCAUGGCCCUCCGCAAGGAUGACAUGCAAAUUCGUGAAACGUUCCGUAUUUAU